ensembl:lncRNA
AUUUUGUAAAUCGUUGCAUGCGAAUACGAACACAGGCAAUAGUGAAAUUCUAGUUUAAAUCCAGGUGUACAUAUAAAGAUAGUGGUCUGUUUAAUAAAACUAAUAAAGCAUAAUCAUAUUUGAGACAUUUAGUGGCAUAGAUUCAUUGUUGAUUAAAGAUUAUAUAUCUGUGUAAUGUGUGUUGUAUUGUGUGGAUGUUUUGUAGAUUAGCAGAGGACAGUGAGCAGUGUGAGAGUCUCAUCCCUUUACAGAGCUCUGCCCUCGAUAACAGGGGUUUUUGCUCUUGAUUAACAUUUUAAGAGGUAAGCUAUGACCUUUGUACAUACAUGCUCUAACAAGAGGCACGAGCACAGCCAAAUCAUUACGUUUUUCUUUAUAUGGGCGUUGUUUGCCUAGAUUGCCCUAGAAUGGAUAUUAUUGUUCAACAUAACGUCUACACCAAAGGUAAAAACAAUCCCAAUGAACCGAUUAACUGCUAAUAUAUAACGUUUAGUGUAAUUUGACUUAAUAAUAAAUGUUCACAUUUAUGAUCACGUUUGAAUAUGUAUUGUUUUAUUUGAGAUAGAUAAUAAUGCUACGUCAUGUGUGCAGAUGGGACUACAGUGCUUGUGAAGCCAUUUUAUGAUAUUCAGUGUUUGGUUUGGAGGAGGGCUUUUUUUGCCAUUUUCCCAUCUGCUAUGUGUCUUAAGACACAGGCGUAAGCAAGAGUUAAGGGAGUCUUUCUUGGUCGCAGAUGUUGGUGGUUUGGAGACUGUUUAGAUUGGCUUUAUCUAUUUCCAAAGCAAGCCAAGGCAAUCAUUUGGCCUUGAUAGCACAUUACUCCUGAGUAAACUAGCCCAUGUUCAUUUUUUGAGUACAAAUCAACUGGAAUAAUCCUUUGAGUAAAAAAGUGAGGCAGAGGCAAACUGCUUCUGUUCUCUGUGUGUGCUUGUGUGUGUGUGUAUGCUAUAUUGUCAGAGAAAAAAUAUGAGGAUCAUGCCUCAGCUUGAAUCAUCACUCACCUACUGUACACACAGGAACCGAGAAGCAGAAAAUGACAAUCUGAAACCUGCCAUUGUGCCUCGUGUCACUUCCUCCUCUUCCCCACAUAUAUUGAAGACCCUGUGAUUGACCAUUCUUAAUCCUCAUUGUGUUGGCUGUGAUAUCUCAGGGCCAGAAAAACCACACCCAGGCAAGCAGCUUUCAUCGGCCGUGAUGGAUGAUCCAGACAUACUGACUGACUUUCCAAUCACAGUAUCACAAACUGAGCCCUUUCCAAGCAAAAUGAGAUUGUGAUAAACAGAGUCUGAGAUGUUGUAUUAACACAUGUUGUGUAUGUGUGUGUGUGUGUGUGUGUGUUCAUCAGUAUAUCACAAUAUGUCUGAUUUGUCUUAUUAAAUUAAUACAGGCUAUACACAGUUCAUAAUUAUUGUUAAGCAGAUUGAUAUACAUGCAGAUUUGCUGGUUUCAAAUCACCAUUUCUCCUAUGAAGUACAAAUAGCCUAUUAUCUUUUUAAUCUUUGUACUAUAGAUAGUGUCUAGAUGUCAAGGUCCUAGUAAAACCUGCAUGUUAUAUUUCACCAUUGAAACGAGACACUAAAACCAUGUAACAUGGUAAUUAAUAUUUUGCGUAUAUGACUUACCAUGUAAUUUAAUAGAUUGUGUGUAUUUGGUAUGAAUUACCAAAUACAAUCUAAAUCCAAGUAAACACUAUUGAGCACGUGCCCGUUGUUUUCUCCUGUAUUUCUUUUCUUUUGCACAGGGGAAACCCCUGUUCUGUCCUUCUCGUUGAGCAACGUUGUGUUCUGAAUUUACACAGACCACAACGUAAUUGCAAUUGCACAAAAAUUGUU